GUAGGUGGCAAGCGUUGUCCGGGAAUUAUUGGGGCGUAAAGCGCGCGCAGGCGGUUCUUUAAGUCUGAUGUGAAAGCCCACGGGCUCAACCGUGGAGGGUCAUUGGAAACUGGAGAACUUGAGUACAGAAGAGGAAAGCGGAAUUCCACGUGUAGCGGUGAAAUGCGUAGAGAUGUGGAGGAACACCAGUGGCGAAGGCGGCUUUCUGGUCUGUAACUGACGCUGAGGCGCGAAAGCGUGGGGAGCAAACAGGAUUAGAUACCCUGGUAGUCCACGCCGUAAACGAUGAGUGCUAAGUGUUAGGGGGUUUCCGCCCCUUAGUGCUGCAGCUAACGCAUUAAGCACUCUGCCUGGGGAGUACGGCCGCAAAGGCUGA
rnacentral:rRNA from 1 species